rnacentral:rRNA from 1 species
UACGUAGGGUGCGAGCGUUAAUCGGAAUUACUGGGCGUAAAGCGUGCGCAGGCGGUUCGUUGUGUCUGAUGUGAAAGCCCCGGGCUCAACCUGGGAAUGGCAUUGGAAACUGGCAGGCUAGAGUCUUGUAGAGGGGGGUAGAAUUCCAGGUGUAGCGGUGAAAUGCGUAGAGAUCUGGAGGAAUACCGGUGGCGAAGGCGGCCCCCUGGACAAAGACUGACGCUCAGGUGCGAAAGCGUGGGGAGCAAACAGG